UACGUAGUGUCCGAGCGUUGUCCGGAAUUACUGGGCGUAAAGAGCUCGUAGGUGGUUUGUCGCGUUGUCCGUGAAAACUCACAGCUCAACUGUGGGCGUGCGGGCGAUACGGGCAGACUGGAGUACUGCAGGGGAGACUGGAAUUCCUGGUGUAGCGGUGGAAUGCGCAGAUAUCAGGAGGAACACCGGUGGCGAAGGCGGGUCUCUGGGCAGUAACUGACGCUGAGGAGCGAAAGCGUGGGGAGCGAACAGG
rnacentral:rRNA from 1 species